rfam:Myotis brandtii contig191151, whole genome shotgun sequence.
GCCAGUGUGGCUCAAUGAUUAGAGCAUUAGCCUGCUCACCGAAAGAUUGUGGGUUCGAUUCCUUGUCAAGGGCA